UAAUGCAGCAAAAUGUAUGAAUUAAAUAACGUCCCUUCAAAAUGAUAUUGUAAACGUUGAAUACUGUUUCUCUUCCUUCUCCUCUCCCUAAUUCAUCUCUGUGACGUCAGGUGUUCGUGCGGAUAACUCCCCUCAAGUUGUGUUUAAGAUUGAAUCUCCAGAAUGCGAGGUAAUUCAAGAAGAAUCUGACGUUGAAAUCCCCAGAACAGCGGGGUUAUUGUUUGGAGUGAGUCACGGACAGUCAAGUGUGUAUUCUGGACCGCCUUAAAAACCUUUGAGAUGGAUGCCUCCUGUCCGCCCAGGGACAUAAUUAAUGUUUUUCCAAAGAGUCAGCCAACCUUGAAAUAUUGAACACUUUAUUUGCCAGGUACACAGAGGUGAAUGGAAUAAAAAAAAAGAAGCUCUUGGUGCUGAUUCCACUUUCAUUUUUUUCCUUCUUGUUUUACCUGGAUAUCUGAGUUUGAUUAGUUGUUUUCUAACUGACCUUCUAGAGUUGCCUUUAAAUCUCAAGUUGGUUAGUUAGACUUUUCUAAGAGCAGCAUGUGAAUAAGGGCGAAUGGUUUAAUUAAAAAUAAGCAAAUGCAAAUAAAAUCAGUAAAAGAUUGAAUCAGAGUGUAAAAAGUGAACACCUUAGAUGAGGCCAAGGCAAACCACUGUAACUCGUGGUUUUUAUUCGGCCCCCCCAUCAGAAUAAAUUGCCUUGUUGUAAAAGAACUAAUGAAUGACUCUUGACUUUAACACACACAGCUCCGGCUGCAUCUUUCAGCUGCCAGUAAGAACGCUAUCAGAAGUUUUCCAUAAGCCUCUUUUCCUGUUUCCAAACCCCAGAGCUAUUUGUUGCUUCUGCAUCUGAAGGUCACCCACCAUCGGUUCAUCACUGGCAAUGAAUUAACAUCCUUCCAGGGAUUUUGAAAUGCCAUGUAAAGUAUAGGGUAUUGUCUCCAUGUGAAUGCUUCCUGUCUUGGGUUAAAGUUUAGUGCCUUAUUUACUCUUCACUCAAAAACUGAAAUUAUGGAAAAGAGGCUGUUGUUCAUUUAGGUGCUGUGUGAAUGUUUACUUCCAAUUUUCUUAAUUAGUGGUCACGGACGGUCCAAGGUUGUGGAGACUAUCCAACUUUAGCUGAUAGCAGCCGUAAACUCAUUAUGUUUGGCACAAUAAGCAACCUGAAGGGGGAAAGAAUACUUUGCAAAGUCAUUGUGUGUUCAUCCCAAGGAGUUCUAGAAUUUAAAAAAGGAAAUGUGUUUUAUUUCUCAAACCAGAUGCUGAUAAUUAUGUUGAGAUUUAGGUUUUGAUGGGAGAUU